UUUUUUUUUUUUCCUUCUCUCAGGGUGAGGCUCCGCCGGGGCCUGUCUAGACAACCGUGUCUCACCUCCUUUUCCGGUUUGUGGAAGUGCUUCACGAUUCCAUUGAUGGCCUCGCCCACCCCCUCCUGGAUCUGACCGGUGUUUAACUCUGCAUGAGGGAAAAGUGCACAGUACUGAUGACUGGCUGACAAAAUCACAAAAAAGGCAUUUGAUCUUUUGGUUCCCUCAUUACAGCAAAAACAUUUAACAGAUCGCAAAUGUAGGAUUUCAACAACUUGAAAUUCGACUGCAAAAAACAAAAAUGGUGCACAAGUUGAAAAAAAAAUCCAAAACUGAAUAAAUUGGAUUAAACAAAGACCAGCUCUUCUUUGUUUUUCAGGUUUUUUUAUUCAAAUGAUAAACAAAUUAAAUUGUUGGCAGUUUGAUGGAUGUUUUGCUUCUGUUCAUUGAGCCGUGUUCAUUUCUGUUGCUUACUUGGCUUGCUGUUUGGUGAGAUGGUAACAAAUCUCCUCAUCAUCCCUGGCGACUGCUGCAUUGGCGGUGUGCGACACAUCCUUUCAUCGUUCUCUGUGCUGGGUGUCAUCAGUUCUCCUACCAGGAUCCUCUCCAGGCUGCCGUCAUCCACACCCUUCCCAAGCCACCGGCCACAUGGAAACCUAACCGUCAAAAAUAUUUAUAUUAGUUUUCUAAUUUAGGUCAAAGCCAUGUGAUUUUUUUUGACGGAACAAGUGCACUUGCUUGUAUGUGUGCCCUGUGAUCUCGUUGCGGACCAUGACACACUCCACCAACCAUUUAGCGUAGAGACCUGUGUUAUCGUGGCCGAGCUGCACUGUGGUCAGCUUACCAAGGUUCUGGCACUGCAAAAGAAUGAGCAUAUACAAUUCAUUCUGUGAACCAUGGCAUAUAGAGAAUUUGAUUUAUUAUUAAAAAAAAAAAAUCUUCCAACUUCAAUUUAGACAAAUUCUUCAUGCCAUCAACAUGGAGGCAACCGCCAAGAUGAUCAACAUUGACAGUAUACAGUGCAUCCGGAAAGUAUUCACAGCGCUUCACUUAUACCACAUUUUGUUAUGUUACAGCCUUAUUCCAAAAUGGAAUACAUUAAUUUUUGUCCUUAAAGUUAGACACAAAAUACUCUAUAAUGACCAUGUGAAAUUUUAAUUUUUUUUAUUUAGCAAAUAAAAAAAAAAAUUAAUAAAUAAAAAAAAAUAUAUCAAAUGUACAUAAAUAUUCAUAGCCUUUGCUCAAUACUUUGUUGAUGCACCUUUGGCAGCAAUUACAGCCUCAAGCCUUUUUGAAUACGAUUACACAAGCUAGGCACACCUAUCUUUGGGCAGUUUUCAUCCAUGAUGUCUCAGUACAUUUUAGGGCUGGACGAUAUAUCGAUAUACUCGAUAUAUCGCGGGUUCGUCUCUGUGCGAUAUAGAAAAUGACUAUAUCGUGAUAUUCGAGUACCGUAUUUUUCGGACUAUAAGUCACAGCUUUUUUCAUAGUUUGGCCAUGGGUGCGACUUAUACUCAAGAGCGACUUAUGUGUGAAAUUCUUAACACAUAACCGUAAAAUAUCAAAUCAUAUUAUUUAGCUCAUUCACGUAAGAGACUAGACGUAUAAGAUUUCAUCUGAUUUAUCGAUUAGGAGUGACAGAUUGUUUGGUAAACGUAUAGCAUGUUCUAUAUAGUAGUUAUUUGAAUGACUCUUACCAUAAUAUGUUACGUUAACAUACCAGGCACCCUCUCAGUUGGUUAUUUAAGCGUCAUAUAACGUACACUUAUUCAGCCUGUUGUUCACUAUUCUUUAUUAAUUUCAAAUUGCCUUUCAAAUGUCUAUUCUUGGUGUUGGGUUUUAUCAAAUAAAUUUCCCCCAAAAAUGCAAGUUAAACUCCAGUGCGACUGAUAUAUGCUUUUUUCCUUCUUUAUUAUGCAUUUUCGGCAGGUGCGACUUAUACUCCGGAGCGACUUAUACUCCGAAAAAUACGGUAUAUGUUCUCACGCAGUUGCUUUUAGCUGCGGGCAUUACACUAUAUGCGUUUCCCACUCUUUCUUGUCUCCCCUUCUCACAGAGACGUAAACAAACGCACCUUCUUACACACGUCACAUACUACCACGUGUGCAACGUCACACGCUCCCACGGAGCAGACAAGUAACGACAUGAUAACAUUAGCUGCGAUGCUAACAGUGAGGUGCGGGUGGUAAAACGAGAGAGAAGGUGCGACUCUGGUAACAAAUGGAGGAACAAUUAAUUCCCAAGAAAAACAGCAAGGGAUCAAUCGUCCGGCGGUGGUUUGGCUUAAUGCGGGAAUAUAUUCAACAUUUAUGCGGCAAAAGCGUUGCUACCAAAAGUAGCACCUACUGCUAAUGUAGCAUCAUUUGAAAAGUCACCCGCUAGAGAAUGAGGAGUGCUUAAAACUCUGCAUCAACAUCUCCCGCAUGUGCCACACCAAAAAAAUUCCGAUGCAACUAUUUCCACAUCAACACCGUUUAUAAAAAAAAAAAGGUCAACAACUGAAGAAGAUAACCCCCGCAGGAACUUAUUAUGCAGCUCAUUUUUAUUUCAAUCAAUCAAUAAAUCAAUGUUUAUUUUUAUAGCCCUAAAUCACAAGUGACUCAAAGGGCUGCACAAACCGAAACGACAUCCUCGGUACAGAGUCCACAUAAGGGCAUGGAAAAACUCACACCCAGUGGGACGUCGGUGACAGUGUUAAUGAUGACUAUGAGAAACUAACUUUUUAACAUUUAUUGAAAUAUCUUGUGUGAUACGCACUAAAGUGCACUUUCUUGGUUUUUAACUAUUGUAGUGGCGUUCUGUACAAAAAGUGCACUUCAUUUUAGUGUUAUUUUGAUAUGUCAUCUUGGUGACGUCAUUCACAAAAGUGCACUUAUAGCUUGGUUUAAAAUGUCUCUGACAAUCUUGCACUUUCUGUUUUGAAAUGACAUGUAUGCUUGUGCCACUGCUUAAUAACUGUUUAAUAAAAUACAGUUUUGGUCAAUUGACUUAGUUGUGACUUCCCUCUCGGCACAAAAGUUUAAAAUGAGCAUAUAUUAUAAUGCAGUAUGAAGAAGAAUGUUUAAAUGUAGACACAUAGAAUCAUUAUACUGCUAUGAUUAUAUGCAUCAAGUGUUAAUUCAAGGCUAAGGCAAAAUAUCGAGAUAUAUAUCGUGCAUCGUGACAUGGCCUAAAAAUAUCAACAUAUUAAUAAAAGGCCAUAUCGCCCAGCCCUAGUACAUUUCGGCAUUCAUCGUAGUCUUAGGUAAGUGACUAAGAACCGGAUGGUCACUCUGUCAGAGGUCCAGCAUUCCUCUCUUGAGUGAGGAGAACCUUCCAGAAGGACAACCAUAACUGCAGCAAUUCACCAAUCUGGCCUGACUGGUAUAGUGGCCAUAUGGAAGCUUUUCCUUCGUAAAAAGUUUGCCAAAAUGCAGCUGAAAUACUCUCCAACCAUAGUCUGGUCUGAUGGGACAAAGACCGAACUCUGUAUACAUUGUCAGUGUGUUCAACUUCAUUUUCCCUCGCUUUAUUUCCGUGGAGUCUCGGUGCGCAUUUAAGUGCUGGUGUUGUUCUAUUGUUGUUGUUGUUAUUGUUGUAUUUGCUGUUGUUGUUUUGGUCUCUCUGUCUAAUCCCCCUCUUAUCCCCACAAUUUCCCCCUCUGUCUUCUUUUUUUUCUCUUUCUAUCCACUCCUGCUCCGGCCCGGCAGCGCCAAAUGAUAAUAUAAAUACAUUUAAUAAAGUCAAAUUCAAAUAAGGCAACAAGAGAAGUAUCCUACACUUCUCUUUUGUAAAGUAAAUCUGAACAGCCGAUAUGGGCAUCUACAUCAACUAUAUGAUUUGCCUGAGAAGCUGGACAGGACAAAAAAUAAAUAAAUAAAUAAAAAUAAAUAAAUAAAAAGAGCGCACUGCUGUUUUUAGAUGGCGAUAGGUGUGGACAAUAUUGGAGACGGACGCAUUUGUCUCACACUAAAAGUAUACAGCGAAAACUAUUUGAUGUUGCUUUUAUUUUCUCAAUUCAGUGUCCAUCAGAUGUGACUGAGAGUUAAUGACGUGAGGAAACAUGCAGCAGGCGACGUGUUGGAAAACGUUACCUUACCUGGUUUAUAAAGUCUUUAAUUUGUUUAC